UACAGAGGGGGCAAGCGUUGUUCGGAAUUACUGGGCGUAAAGGGCGCGUAGGCGGCCUUCUAAGUCGAACGUGAAAUCCCCGGGCUCAACCCGGGAACUGCGUCCGAGGCUGAAAGGCUCGAAUCCGGGAGAGGGAUGUGGAAUUCCAGGUGUAGCGGUGAAAUGCGUAGAUAUCUGGAGGAACAUCGGUGGCGAAGGCGGCAUCCUGGACCGGUAUUGACGCUGAGGCGCGAAAGCCAGGGGAGCAAACGGG
rnacentral:rRNA from 1 species